UACGAAGGGGGCUAGCGUUGCUCGGAAUCACUGGGCGUAAAGCGCACGUAGGCGGCUUUCUAAGUCAGGGGUGAAAUCCUGGAGCUCAACUCCAGAACUGCCUUUGAUACUGAAGAUCUUGAGUCCGGGAGAGGUGAGUGGAACUGCGAGUGUAGAGGUGAAAUUCGUAGAUAUUCGCAAGAACACCAGUGGCGAAGGCGGCUCACUGGCCCGGUACUGACGCUGAGGCACGAAAGCGUGGGGGAGCAAACAGG
rnacentral:rRNA from 1 species